rnacentral:rRNA from 1 species
UACGCAGGGUGCAAGCGUUGUCCGGAAUUAUUGGGCGUAAAGAGCUCGUAGGCGGCUUGUCACGUCGGGUGUGAAAGCCCGGGGCUUAACCCCGGGUCGUGCAUUCGAUACGGGCUAGCUAGGAGUGUGGUAGGGGAGAUCGGAAUUCCUGGUGUAGCGGUGAAAUGCGCAGAUAUCAGGAGGAACACCGGUGGCGAAGGCGGAUCUCUGGGCCAUUACUGACGCUGAGGAGCGAAAGCGUGGGGAGCGAACAGG